UUUUUAAAACAUUGAUUUUUAUGCGUAAUAUUUAAUUAAUUAAAGAAUUUUAAAGAAGUUUUAUGUUAGUCGAGAACGACUAACAUCAAACAAGUUUACCACCAUAUUAUCAUGUUACUGUCUCGUAAGUUUUACUUCUAAUUGGUGAAUAAUGUGUGAUAAUUUCAGUUUUGAGCUAAAAGCUGCUUUGUUCUCACCACAUUGUGUACUCAUGAAACAUAUUAGACCCUAAAAUCCUUUAAUUAUUUCGUAUUGACUCAAGAAAUGAGAAGAAUAAAAAUCCAUGCUCAUCUUAUCUCAUUUUCUAUCUCUCUCUCUCUCUCUCUCUCUCUCUCUCUCUCUCUCUCUCUCUCUCUCUCUCUUGAAACUGCAGUCAUAAAGACAGGUACACAUGCAGAUCCCAAUCCCUGCAAAUUACUUUGUCACAAUCUACUACAGUAGUUUUUAAAAAUCACUUUGUCCCAAUUUUGCCCUGCAUAUAAUUGUUCGAGUGGAGGAAAUGCACGAUUGACAUUUUGGCAACUGUCAAAUCUCUUUCUUUAUCAAACGUUGUAUUAUUGGAUUAGAUGUUAGAUAUUUUUAUGCAUAAUAUUUAAUUAAUUAGAAAAUUUUAAAGAACACUCACCCUCAUAAUUAGGAGAGGCCAAUUCCUAGGCCCUCUCAUCCUCUCUCAACGCUCUCACUCUCAGAGCUCUCUCUCCCUCAAAUCUCUUUCUUUAUCAAACGUUGAGAACAACUAACAUCAAAUAAGUUCACCACCAUAUUAUCACAUUAUGGUCUUGUAAGUUUUACUCCUAAUUGGUGAAUAAUGUGUGAUAAUUUCAGUUUUGAUUGCUAAAAGCUGCUUUGUUCUCACUACAUUGUGUACUCAUGAAACAUAUUAGACCCAUGUAAAAACCUUUAAUUAUU
rnacentral:lncRNA from 1 species